rnacentral:rRNA from 1 species
AUUGAACGCUGGCGGCAGGCCUAACACAUGCCAGUCGAGCGGAUGAAGGGAGCUUGCUCCUGGAUUCAGCGGCGGACGGGUGAGUAAUGCCUAGGAAUCUGCCUGGUAGUGGGGGAUAACGUCCGGAAACGGGCGCUAAUACCGCAUACGUCCUGAGGGAGAAAGUGGGGGAUCUUCGGACCUCACGCUAUCAGAUGAGCCUAGGUCGGAUUAGCUAGUUGGUGGGGUAAAGGCCUACCAAGGCGACGAUCCGUAACUGGUCUGAGAGGAUGAUCAGUCACACUGGAACUGAGACACGGUCCAGACUCCUACGGGAGGCAGCAGUGGGGAAUAUUGGACAAUGGGCGAAAGCCUGAUCCAGCCAUGCCGCGUGUGUGAAGAAGGUCUUCGGAUUGUAAAGCACUUUAAGUUGGGACGAAGGGCAGUAAGUUAAUACCUUGCUGUUUUGACGUUACCAACAGAAUAAGCACCGGCUAACUUCGUG